rnacentral:tRNA from 11 species
GCCCCGUUCGUCUAGCGGCCUAGGACGCUGGCCUCUCACGCCGGUAACACGGGUUCAAAUCCCGUACGGGGUACAA